CUCCUAGUGAACAACAAAGACGCAGCUCAAGCCUCAAGGCUUAAAUAACAGAAUUUAUUUAUAGGGGCUUGUUUUGACUUAAGUGAAAAGUUGAAGUCCUUUUUUGAUAUUUUACCAAAAUCAUCAGAUCUCUCGAUGGUCGUGAGUGACUUCGAAGACGACGACGACGAGUCACACUUCCCCUGAGCUUCUCGCUUCUCAUACUCUGUAAGCUCACUCUCCUCUCCUCCAAAUCCACAACGACGACCAAACUCUUGAUUUUGUUUAUACUGACUUCGACCAUGUUUUUAUGGGGUUUCUUCAUUGAGUCUUUCUCGUCCGAUUUGGUCGAUCCUGGGACUUUUAUAUUACGAUAGUGAUAGUUUCUGGAAAUCGAGCUAAUAGUUUCUCAAUUGUGCAUAGUUGUUCUUACUUCUUAGUCAAGACCAUUUCAUUCAACCAUCGUAAUGAAUGUCUGUGACUCUGUGUGUAGUUCAAAUUCUGGGGCCAAUGAUUUAAACAGACAUUGAUUUUGGAACUCCGUGGUUCAAUGCACGGCCAAGUUUAUUAGAAACACUUUGGUUUGCUGGAGCUGAAACCGAAUCAGUCAAGGAUGGUGAGUUCCAUUUUUGCAUUGUGAGCCUUCUCAAAAUGGUAGGUAGUCUUACCUACCUAAAGUUGAUAGUAAAGCUGAGGUCUUAAAUCUUGCGUUUCAUGUGAACCUAAUGAAAAAGAAUAUUUGGGAGGAAAGAAAUUGAGUUUUCCUUUCUUUCUUUUGUUGCUUUAAAGCUGAUUCAUGCAUGUUUAUGUUAGUAUACAGAGCUUUAAACAAGAUUAAAAACUAAGGAGUGAAAUGUCCUCUAUGAACAGAGAUACAAGUAAUGGCCGGUUUAGCUAUUGGUGUUUCCAGCAUCAAGUCUGGUGAACGUGCGCUCUUGCAUGUUUGCUGGGAAUUUAGCAUAUAGGAGAGAUGGAAACUCUUCUUUUUCCCAAUGUUCCAUCUAUAGCGGAAUUGUUAGAUGACGCUGAAGUUGUUGGAUUUGAUGAAACAAAGGAGGAACGUUUUUUCUUUAAGAUCAUUUGCUGAUUCUUGUUUCCUUACCUGAACACUCCACAACCAAGCUUUUAUCCCAAGCUCUUUGCUUAUAGCUGACUUAGAGGUUGGAUUGUACAGGGAAAAGCUCGCAGUGAUAUGACUAUGGAGGAAAGGUUUGGUGCAGCACACAGAAGGAAAAUGGAUGGGGCUCUCUGUUUAAGGAGGAUAAAUUGGAGGAGGCCAAUACGAAAUGGUUAGGAAUCUCUCUUUCUUUCUAACAAUUACGGUCAAAGUUUUGGUUUUCAAGGCAUACUCAGCGACUCUGCCCGAGGCUCUUGCAUCUCCUUUCGGCUCUAAAACAAAGAGCCUUAACUGGUUGAUAGUGUUAUCGCAAUGGUUGGUUUGCCUUUUCUGCCGGAGUUAAAGCAGAUAAAGAGAAUUUACAAGGAGGAGCUAGCUUAGCUACUACCAUGAAGAUUUGGGGAAGCUGAGAUGUUGCCAGGAGAAGUAAGCACAAACCAAUAGUUGAGAGAUAUAAACAUAAACAGCAAAAGAGAGACUCAUAAGCAUCAGGUCCUUGACGUCUCCUUUCUUCUUCUCUGGCUUCAGAUUCUUCCCAAUCUUCCCAGCCUCUGAAAUCAUCCUUCUCAAUGUUCUCUGGAUCACUCCUUCAUUCUCUUCUGGUAAUUUCUGCUUCCGACAAGACAUCACUCUCAUAGAUCUAACUCCGUGUCUGCUUGAGGCUUGUCUCUUUGUACGGUGGUUAGUGCAGAGUGGGUGGUAGUAGAAGGUGGUGGAGAGAGCCGCCAUGAGAAGAUGAAUAGAAUAAUUGAAGAAAGUUUUUUGUUUUGGGAAUCAAAAGUGAGCAGGAAAAUAUCAGAAUCUUGAUAGCUUAACGACAAAAAUGAUUUGAAAAAUGGGUGGAUAGAUCUCAUCUAACACACACACAUGUAGUCACAAGGUACACGCCAAUGCAAAACCAAAUUGGCCGAAUUUCUAUUCGGUUCGUUUCAACUAAUUCGGUUUGUUUCGAUUUCUAAACCGAAAACCCAAAUUUUUUGAUCCAAACCGAUUCUGAAUGGCCAGGUAAUCAGGUAUAGUCGGAAGCAUCUACAAAUUCACAACAACAACACAUUAUGUCUGACUGGUGAGAUAAAUGAUGACUGAGUGGAUAAGCAAAGAAUAAAAUAAUGUCAUAAAGUCAACAACAUGUCUCUGUGACUCUAUCUCUAUCCUAUUAUUAGAUUUAAUCAGAUAACUUUAAAAUCUGGUUGCUGAAAAAACCGUAUCUCAUUAUUAUAUAAAUAGAGAGAGAACAGCCCCACGUAAACAAAUAGCGAUAGAGCAACUGUGUCGAUUGUCCCAAAUAAUUUUAAAAAUAAUUUCACGUGUCCCCAUUUUGCUGACGUCAUUAUUCCCCUUUUUCCUUUUUAUUGUCACAUCAGAAUUUUUUCUAACUCAUUCAUUUCAAUCAAUCUUCUUCUUCUUCUUCUUCUUCUUC